rnacentral:rRNA from 1 species
UACAGAGGUCUCAAGCGUUGUUCGGAUUCAUUGGGCGUAAAGGGUGCGUAGGUGGCGCUGUAAGUCUGCUGUUAAAGAGUCUAGCUCAACUAGAUAAAAGCAGUGGAAACUACAUAGCUAGAGUACGUUCGGGGCAGAGGGAAUUCCUGGUGUAGCGGUGAAAUGCGCAGAUAUCAGGAAUAACACCCGUGGCGAAGGCGGCUCUCUGGGACGGUACUGACGCUGAGACGCGAAAGCGUGGGGAGCGAACAGG